rnacentral:rRNA from 1 species
AACGAACGCUGGCGGCAGGCUUAACACAUGCAAGUCGAGCGAACCCUUCGGGGUUAGCGGCGGACGGGUGAGUAACGCGUGGGGACGUGCCCUUUUCUACGGAAUAGCCUCGGGAAACUGAGAGUAAUACCGUAUACGCCCUUUUGGGGAAAGAUUUAUCGGAGAAGGAUCGGCCCGCGUUGGAUUAGGUAGUUGGUGGGGUAAUGGCCUACCAAGCCGACGAUCCAUAGCUGGUUUGAGAGGAUGAUCAGCCACACUGGGACUGAGACACGGCCCAGACUCCUACGGGGGGCAGCAGUGGGGAAUCUUAGACAAUGGGGGCAACCCUGAUCUAGCCAUGCCGCGUGAGUGAUGAAGGCCUUAGUGUUGUAAAGCUCUUUCAGCUGGGAAGAUAAUGACGGUACCAGCAGAAGAAGCCCCGGCUAACUCCGUGCCAGCAGCCGCCGUAAGAC